rnacentral:rRNA from 1 species
GAUGAACGCUAGCGGCAGGCUUAAUACAUGCAAGUCGAACGGGAUUGAGAAGCUUGCUUUUCAUGAGAGUGGCGCACGGGUGCGUAACACGUAUGCAACCUGCCUUGUCCAGGGGGAUAGCCCGUUGAAAGACGGAUUAAGACCGCAUAACAUCAUUGAAUGGCAUCGUUUAAUGAUCAAAUACUUAUAGGGACAAGAUGGGCAUGCGUCUGGUUAGCUAGUUGGCGGGGUAAUGGCCCACCAAGGCGACGAUCAGUAGGGGAUCUGAGAGGAUGACCCCCCACACUGGUACUGAGACACGGACCAGACUCCUACGGGAGGCAGCAGUGAGGAAUAUUGGUCAAUGGGCGCAAGCCUGAACCAGCCAUGCCGCGUGCAGGAAGACGGCCCUACGGGUUGUAAACUGCUUUUAUACGGGAAUAACCCCGGUUUCGUGAAACCGGCUGAAUGUACCGUAAGAAUAAGGAUCGGCUAACUCCGUGCCAGCCGCCGCCGUAA